GCCUUGGUGCAACGGUAGCCCGCACUAAUAUGUAGGCAGGAAAAGUGGGAGUUUCAAGUGCGGUCGGUGGUUCGACUCCACCUUAGGGCA